AUUGAACGCUGGCGGCGUGCCUAACACAUGCAAGUCGCACGCGAAAGGGGGCAACCCCAAGUAGAGUGGCGGACGGGUGAGUAACGCGUAGGAAUCUACCUAGUAGUGGGGGACAACCCGGCGAAAGCCGGGCUAACACCGCAUACGACCUAAGGGUGAAAGCAGGGGAUCGCAAGACCUUGCGCUAUUAGAUGAGCCUGCGUCCGAUUAGCUAGUUGGUGGGGUAACGGCUCACCAAGGCGACGAUCGGUAACUGGUUUGAGAGAACGACCAGUCACAUUGGGACUGAGACACGGCCCAAACUCCUACGGGAGGCAGCAGUGGGGAAUAUUGGACAAUGGGGGCAACCCUGAUCCAGCGACGCCGCGUGUGUGAAGAAGGCCUUCGGGUUGUAAAGCACUUUCGGCAGGGACAAACAAGACGGAGCUAACAUCUCCGUUCCUGAUGGUACCUGAAGAAGAAGCACCGGCUAACUCUGUGCCAGCCGCCGCAGUAA
rnacentral:rRNA from 1 species